UACGAAGGGGGCUAGCGUUGCUCGGAAUCACUGGGCGUAAAGGGUGCGUAGGCGGGUUUUUAAGUCAGGGGUGAAAUCCUGGAGCUCAACUCCAGAACUGCCUUUGAUACUGAAGAUCUUGAGUCCGGGAGAGGUGAGUGGAACUGCGAGUGUAGAGGUGAAAUGCGUAGAUAUCGGAAGGAACAUCAGUGGCGAAAGCGGCUUCCUGGACCAGAACUGACGAUCAGGCUCGAAAGCGUGGGGAGCAAACAGG
rnacentral:rRNA from 1 species